rnacentral:tRNA from 1 species
GCGACCGAAGCUCAGCCCGGAUUGAGCGCUGCCCUCCGAAGGCAGAGGCCAGAGGUUCAAAUCCUCUCGGUCGCACCA